rnacentral:rRNA from 1 species
UGGGGGAUAUUGCACAAUGGGCGAAAGCCUGAUGCAGCGACGCCGCGUGGGGGAUGAAGGCCUUCGGGUUGUAAACUUCUUUUGCUCUGAACAAGGCGCACCAUGGGGUGUGUUGAGUGUAGGGGUUGAUUAGCGCCGGCUAACUACGUGCCAGCAGCCGCGGUAAUACGUAGGGCGCGAGCGUUGUCCGGAAUUAUUGGGCGUAAAGGGCUUGUAGGUGGCUGGUUGCGUCUGUCGUGAAAGCUCAUGGCUUAACUGUGGGUUUGCGGUGGGUACGGGCUGGCUUGAGUGCAGUAGGGGAGGCUGGAAUUCCUGGUGUAGCGGUGGAAUGCGCAGAUAUCAGGAGGAAUACCGGUGGCGAAGGCGGGUCUCUGGGCUGUUACUGAUACUGAGGAGCGAAAGCAUGGGGAGCGAAGAGG